rnacentral:tRNA from 1 species
UCCCUGGUGGCUCAGAUGGUAAAGAAUCUGCCUGCAAUGUAGGAGACCUGGGUUCAAUCCCUGGUUUGGGAA